GCUGUGGAAUCCGUAAGGAUUGGUAGGAGAGCGUUCUGUAGGCCGUUGAAGGAGAAGGGUAACCGACUCUGGAGGUAUCAGAAGUGAGAAUGCAGGAAUAAGUAGCGAGAAAGGGGGCGAGAAUCCCCCUCGCCGGAAGACCAAGGUUUUCAGGGUAAAGCUUGUCUUCCCUGAGUAAGCCGGGACCUAAGCCCAGGCUAUAAUGCGUAGGCGAAUGGAAAACAGAUUAAUAUUUCUGUGCCAGUCAUAUAUUGUGAUGGAGGGACGCAGAAGGGUAUGCGCGCGGACGAACGGAAGUGUCCGUAGAAGUAUGUAGGAUGACUUGAUAGGAAAAUCCAUUGAGUUAUAUCUGAGGUAUGAUAUACAGUCGUAAGAUGAAUGCGCAAAUCCCACGCUGCCAAGAAAAGCUUCUAACGUUAAUAUUUGACUGCCCGUACUGCAAACCGACACAGGUGGUCAGGAUGAGAAAUCUAAGGCGGACAGGCUAACUCUCGUUAAGGAACUCUGCAAAAUAACCUCGUAACUUCGGGAGAAGAGGAGCCCUUGAGGGUCAGUAUCCACGCGAUACAAAGCGCUCGAGGGUCGCAGUGAAGAGGCUCAAGCAACUGUUUAACAAAAACACAGGUCUAUGCUAAGCUGGAAGGCGAUGUAUAUGGGCUGACACCUGCCCAGUGCUGGAAGGUUAAGAGGAGGAGUGAGAGCUCCGAAUUGAAGCCCCAGUGAACGGCGGCCGUAACUAUAACGGUCCUAAGGUAGCGAAAUUCNNNNNNNNNNCACGAAUGGUGUAAUGAUUUGAGCGCUGUCUUGACGGGAGGCCUGGUGAAAUUGUAUUACCGGUGAAGAUACCGGUUACCUACAGUAGGACGGAAAGACCCCAUGGAGCUUUACUGUAGCUUGGUAUUGGGUUUUGGCAUUGCAUGUAUAGGAUAGUUGGGAGACUGAGAUGAUAUGGCGCUAGCUGUAUCGGAGUCAUCGGUGGAAUACCAACCAUUCAAUGCUGAAAUUCUAAUCUGUGGUUUGUAGCCACGGAGACAGUGCUAGGUGGGCAGUUUGACUGGGGCGGUCGCCUCCGAAAGAGUAACGGAGGCGUUCAAAGGUUCUCUCAGCGCGGACAGAAAUCGCGCAAUAGAGUGUAAAGGCAGAAGGGAGCUUAACUGGGAGACUUACAAGUCGAGCAGAUACGAAAGUAGGACUUAGUGAUCCGGUGGAUUAUGAAUGGAAAUGCCAUCGCUCAACGGACAAAAGUUACCCUGGGGAUA
rnacentral:rRNA from 1 species